UGGGGUGCAGCUCAGUGCUAAAGUGCUUGCCUCGCAUGUGGGAGGCCCUGGGUCCAAUCCCCAGCACUGCAG
rnacentral:tRNA from 1 species